rnacentral:rRNA from 1 species
GACGAACGCUGGCGGCGUGCUUAACACAUGCAAGUCGAACGAAGAGCGAUGGAAGCUUGCUUCUAUCAAUCUUAGUGGCGAACGGGUGAGUAACGCGUAAUCAACCUGCCCUUCAGAGGGGGAUAACAGUUGGAAACGACUGCUAAUACCGCAUACGAUCUAAUCUCGGCAUCGAGGAUAGAUGAAAGGUGGCCUCUACAUGUAAGCUAUCACUGAAGGAGGGGAUUGCGUCUGAUUAGCUAGUUGGAGGGGUAACGGCCCACCAAGGCGAUGAUCAGUAGCCGGUCUGAGAGGAUGAACGGCCACAUUGGGACUGAGACACGGCCCAGACUCCUACGGGAGGCAGCAGUGGGGAAUCUUCCGCAAUGGACGAAAGUCUGACGGAGCAACGCCGCGUGAGUGAUGACGGCCUUCGGGUUGUAAAGCUCUGUUAAUCGGGACGAAAGGCCUUCUUGCGAAUAGUGAGAAGGAUAGAC